GCGUUUCGCUGCCGGAGUGAAAAUGGCGGCCUCCAGCGCGAGACUCUGAGGGGGUUCAGAGAAACGGGGCGCAGCAGCGGCAGCCUAGGCGCUGCGCUCGGCGACGGCAGCAGCUUCCGGGUCUGCCCGCCGCCGUUAUCUUCAGCGCUGGUUGCGGCGCUGGGGGAGUCCGGGCAGCGCAGCUCUUCGGCCAGGUCUGGGCACAAAAUGAAUAUAAUUAGGGAAAAUAAAGAUCUUGCUUGUUUCUACACAACUAAACAUUCGUGGAGGGGAAAGUAUAAGAGAGUCUUCUCAGUUGGAACCCAUGCCAUCACUACGUACAAUCCGAACACACUAGAAGUUACAAAUCAGUGGCCUUAUGGAGAUCUUUGUAGUAUCGGCCCUGUUGGAAAGGGGCAAGGAACAGAAUUCAGCCUCACCUUUCGUAAGGGGAGUGGAAAGAAGUCUGAAACGCUUAAGUUUUCUACAGACCAUAGGACAGAACUCAUUACAGAAGCGCUGAGAUUCAGAACAGACUUUUCAGAAGGAAAAAUCACAGGAAGGAGAUACAACUGUUAUAAGCAUCACUGGAGUGACGUGAGAAAACCUGUGAUUCUGGAAGUGACUCCUGGAGGGUUUGAUCAAAUUAAUCCUGCAACUAAUAAAGUCCUGUGUUCCUAUGACUACAGAAAUAUUGAAGGUUUUGCUGAUCUCUCUGACUAUCAGGGAGGUUUCGCUAUACUUUAUGGAGGAUUUAGUAGAUUGCAUAUGUUUGCAUCUGAGCAAAGGGAAGAAAUUAUCAAAAGUGCAAUAGAACAUGCUGGCAAUUAUAUAGGCAUCUCUCUCCGAAUAAGGAAAGAAGCUUUAGAAUUUGAGCAAUACUUGAGCCUUCGCUUUGGGAAAUACAGCAAUGAUGAAUCUAUCACAUCUUUAGCAGAAUUUAUUGUUCAAAAAAUAACACCUAGACAUUCGGAACCUGUGAAAAGAAUAUUAGCCCUUACAGAAACUUGCUUAGUAGAGCGGGAUCCUGCUACGUAUAAUAUUGUGACACUGAAACCUCUAGGAGAGGUAUUUGCACUGGUACGUGAUUGUGAAAAUCCACAGCUUUUUACCAUUGAAUUUAUCAAGGGACAAAUCCGAAGAUAUUCUUCAACAGAGAGAGAUUCCCUGUUAGCUAGCUUGCUGGAUGGAGUAAGAGCCUCUGGCAAUAGAGAUGUAUGUGUGAAAAUGACCCCAACGCACAAAGGUCAGCGCUGGGGAUUGCUGAGUAUGCCUGUAGAUGAGGAAGUAGAGAGCCUUCACCUCCGGUUCUUAGCUGCUCCUCCAAAUGGCAAUUUUGCAGAUGCUGUGUUCAGGUUCAAUGCUAACAUCUCAUACAGUGGAGUUCUGCAUGCAGUAACACAAGAUGGUCUGUUCUCUGAAAACAAGGAGAAACUGAUUAAUAAUGCCAUAACAGCAUUACUGUCUCAAGAGGGGGACAUUGUAGCAUCUAACGCAGAACUUGAAAGCCAGUUCCAAGCUGUGAGACGACUAGUUGCUUCAAAAGCUGGCUUCCUUGCCUUUACUCAGCUUCCUAAAUUUCGGGAACGUCUAGGAGUUAAGGUGGUAAAAGCUCUUAAAAGAAACAAUGAUGGAGUAACCCAUGCUUCUAUUGACAUGCUGUGUGCUCUCAUGUGUCCUAUGCAUGAUGAUUACGACUUGAGGCAAGAGCAGCUGAACAAAGCUUCCCUUCUUUCUUCAAAGAAGUUUCUGGAAAACUUAUUAGAGAAAUUUAAUUCUCAUGUGGAUCAUGGGACAGGUGCUCUUGUUAUUAGUUCACUUCUGGACUUCCUUACAUUUGCCCUCUGUGCUCCGUAUAGUGAGACAACUGAAGGGCAGCAGUUUGAUAUGUUGUUAGAGAUGGUAGCAUCUAAUGGGAGAACCCUCUUUAAGCUCUUUCAGCACCCUUCAAUGGCAAUUGUAAAAGGAGCUGGUUUGGUUAUGAAGGCAAUAAUAGAGGAAGGAGAUAAAGAGAUUGCUACCAAAAUGCAAGAUCUCGCCCUCAGUGAAGGUGCCUUACCUCGUCAUUUACGUACUGCUAUGUUUACAAUAAGCGCAGAUCAAAGGAUGCUGACAAAUAGACAGCUAAGUAGACAUUUAGUGGGCCUUUGGACAGCUGAAAAUGCAACUGCUAUGAGCUUGUUGAAACGUAUUUUGCCACCAGGUUUGCUGGCGUACCUGGACAGCGCUGAUCCUGUUCCUGAGAAGGAUGCUGACCGGAUGCAUAUUAGGGAUAACUUAAAAAUUGCAACUGACCAGUAUGGCAAGCUUAGUAAAGUGCCCGAGUGGCAGAGAUUGGCUGGAAAAGCUGCUAAAGAAGUAGAAAAAUUUGCCAAAGAGAAAGUUGAUCUGGUUUUGAUGCACUGGAGGGACAGAAUGGGCAUUGCUCAAAAAGAGAACAUUAAUCAGAAGCCAGUAAUACUAAGGAAACGAAGGCAAAGAAUAAAAAUAGAAGCAAACUGGGAUCUCUUCUAUUACAGAUUUCUUCAAGAUCAUACUAAGUCAAAUUUGAUUUGGAACUUCAAAACACGGGAAGAGCUGAGAGAUACCCUUGAAUCCGAAAUGCGGGCAUUCAGUAUUGACAGAGAACUUGGCAGUGCUAAUGUCAUCUCAUGGAAUCAUCAUGAGUUUGAGGUUAAGUAUGAGUGCCUUUCAGAGGAAAUAAAAAUAGGGGAUUAUUACCUGAGAUUAUUGUUGGAGGAAGAUGAAACUGAAGAGAGUGGAGCAAUCAAAAAAUCGUAUGAAUUUUUCAAUGAACUUUAUCACCGCUUCUUGCUCACCCCUAAAGUGAACAUGAAAUGUUUAUGUCUACAAGCACUGGCCAUUGUUUAUGGAAGAUGUCAUGAAGAAAUAGGACAAUUUGGUGACACUAAAUAUAUUGUUGGGAUGUUGGAAAGGUGCACAGAUAGACUUGAGCGGGACAGAUUGAUACUAUUCCUUAACAAGCUCAUUUUAAAUAAGAAAAAUGUUAAGGACCUCAUGGAUUCAAAUGGCAUUAGAAUCCUUGUGGAUCUGCUUACCAUGGCACAUCUCCACACAAGCAGGGCUACAGUACCAUUGCAAAGCAAUGUGAUUGAAGCAGCACCAGAUAUGAAGAGAGAAAGUGAGAAAGAGUGGUACUUUGGCAAUGCAGAUAAAGAGAGGAGCGGUCCUUACAGCUUUACAGAGAUGCAGGAAUUAUGGACCAAGGGAAAGCUGACUGCAAAAACACGGUGUUGGGCUCAGGGUAUGGAUGGCUGGAGACCAUUGCAGUUUAUCCCUCAGCUUAAAUGGUGCUUGCUAGCCAACGGACAGGCUGUGCUGAAUGAGACUGACCUUGCCACACUUAUCCUCAACAUGUUGAUCACAAUGUGUGGCUAUUUUCCCAGCAGGGAUCAAGAUAAUGCCAUUAUAAGACCUUUGCCCAGAGUAAAGAGGCUGCUUUCAGACAGUACUUGCCUUCCCCAUAUUACUCAGCUGCUGUUGACGUUUGACCCUAUCCUUGUUGAGAAAGUUGCCAUAUUGCUGUUCCACAUCAUGCAAGAUAACCCACAAUUAUCUCGUUUUUAUCUAAGUGGAGUAUUCUUCUUUAUCAUGAUGUACACAGGUUCCAAUGUACUUCCUGUUGCAAGGUUUUUGAAGUACACUCAUACAAAACAAGCUUUCAAGUCUGAAGAGACAAAAGGGCAAGAUAUAGUUCAAAGAAGUAUACUAGGACACAUCCUUCCUGAAGCAAUGGUGUGUUAUUUAGAAAACUAUGAGCCAGAAAAAUUUUCUGAAAUUUUCCUUGGGGAAUUUGACACUCCAGAAGCGAUUUGGAGCAAUGAAAUGAGGCGCCUUAUGAUCGAGAAGAUUGCUGCUCACCUUGCUGACUUCACCCCUCGUCUUCAAAGUAAUACAAGAGCACUCUAUCAAUACUGCCCCAUACCAGUUAUCAACUAUCCACAACUGGAGAAUGAGCUGUUCUGUAAUAUUUAUUACCUCAAACACCUGUGUGAUACACUCCUGUUUCCAGAUUGGCCAAUUAAAGAUCCUGUUAAAUUGUUAAAAGAUACUCUGGAGGCUUGGAAGAAGGAGGUAGAAAAGAAGCCACCUACAAUGUCAACAGAUGAUGCUUAUGAAGUUCUUAACCUUCCAAAAGGACAAGGACAGCAUGAUGAGAGCAAGGUCAGAAAAGCCUACUUCAGGUUGGCACAAAAAUAUCACCCUGAUAAGAACCCAGAAGGGAGGGAUAUGUUUGAAAAAGUAAACAAAGCAUAUGAGUUCUUAUGCACAAAAUCUGCCAAAGUGGUGGAUGGCCCAGAUCCAGAGAAUAUCAUCUUGAUUCUGAAAGCUCAAAGCAUCCUCUUCAACAGACACAAAGAAGAUUUGAAGCCUUACAAAUAUGCAGGCUAUCCCAUGCUGAUUAAGACCAUUACACUAGAAACUUCAGAUGAUCUUCUGUUUUCCAAGGAAUCUCCUUUGUUGCCUGCUGCUGCAGAGCUGGCUUUCCACACAGUCAAUUGUUCAGCACUUAAUGCAGAAGAACUGCGGAGGGAGAAUGGAAUAGAGGUAUUGCAAGAAGCAUUUAAUCGUUGUGUGGCAGUCUUGACUCACUCCAGUAAACCAGAUGACAUGUCUGUACAGGUAUGUGGGCAUAUAAGCAAGUGUUACAGUGUGGCAGCUCAGUUUGAGGAGUGCAGAGAAAAGAUCACUGAGAUGCCUAAUAUCAUCAAGGAUCUCUGUAGAGUGCUAUAUUAUGGCAAGAACAUUCCGCGAGUGGCUUCCUUGGGAGUGGAAUGUGUCAGUUCAUUUGCUGUUGAUUACUGGCUACAAACACAUUUGUUUCAAGCUGGAAUUUUGUGGUAUUUACUCGGUUACCUCUUUAACUAUGAUUAUACGCUAGAAGAGAGUGGCAUUCAGAAGAGUGAAGAUUCUAAUCAGCAGGAAGUAGCCAAUGGUCUCGCCAAACUCAGUCUUCUUGCUUUGAGUCGUCUUGGAGGGUAUUUGUCUGAAGAACGAGUUACACCUGAAAAUCCAGCAAUAAGGAAAAGCUUGGCUGGAAUGCUGACACCAUAUGUUGCAAGGAAACUUGCUGUGGCUGCUCCUACUGAGAUUCUGAAGAUGCUCAACAGCAACACAGAGAACCCCUAUUUGAUCUGGAACAAUGGGACAAGAGCUGAACUUCUUGAAUUCCUGGAAUCUGAACAAGAAAGCAUGAUAAAAAGAGGUGAUUGUGACAAAAGCUAUGGAUCUGAAUUUGUCUUCAGUGACCAUGCAAAAGAACUUAUUGUGGGAGAGAUUUUUGUUAGAGUUUACAAUGAAGUCCCUACUUUUCAGCUAGAGUUUCCAAAAGCAUUUGCUGCAAGCCUUUUGGAUUACAUUGGCUCACAGGCACAGUACCUUCACACGUUAAUGGCUAUCACACAGACUGGGAAAGUAGAGUCUGAUCAACAUGGAGACCGGUUACGGAGGGUUGAAAUGGCAUUGGAGGCGCUGAGAAAUGUUAUAAAACACAACCCAGGUUCUGAGUGUGAAUGCAUAGGUCACUUUAAGCUGAUAUUCUCCCUUCUGCGUGUCCAUGGAGCUGGUCACGUGCAGCAGUUGGCUUUAGAGGUGGUGAACAUAGUGACUUGUAACCAGGAAUGUGUUAAUAACAUUGCCGAGGCAAUGGUUCUUUCCAAUUUGCUGGCCCUCCUGCAUUCCCUGCCUUCAAGUCGGCAGCUUGUUCUUGAAACUCUCUAUGCCUUGACAUCUAGUACAAAAAUAAUUAAAGAGGCCAUGGCAAAAGGUGCUUUAAUCUACUUAUUAGAUAUGUUCUGCAAUUCAACACAUCCACAGGUCCGAACCCAGACAGCAGAGCUUUUUGCCAAAAUGACUGCAGAUAAGCUAGUGGGUCCAAAGGUUAGAAUUACCCUAAUGAAGUUUCUGCCUGGAGUCUUUAUGGAUGCCAUGAGAGAUAACCCUGAAGCUGCUGUUCAUAUUUUUGAAGGAACACAUGAAAAUCCUGAGUUAAUUUGGAAUGACCUCUCCAGGGAUAGAGUAUCAGCAACAGUUCGAGAAAUGAUGCUAGAGCACUUUAAACUUCAGAGGGACAACCCUGACACUAACUGGAAGCUGUCUGAAGACUUUGCUGUGGUGUAUGGUGAAGCAGAAGGUGAACUUUCUGUAGGGGGAGUCUUCUUAAGAAUCUUUAUUGCCCAGCCGGCCUGGGUUCUGCGAAAACCUAGAGAAUUUCUUAUUGCACUGUUGGAAAAAUUCACUGAACUACUGGAGAAAAAUAACCCCCAUGGGGAAACAUUAGAAACCGUAACAACAGCAACCGUGUGCCUCUUCAGCACUCAGCCUCAGCUAGCAGAUCAACUCCCACCACUUGGUCAUCUCCCCAAGAUUCUCCAGGCUCUGAAUCACAAGAACAAUGCUAUUCCUAAAAGUGCUGUUCGUGUCAUACACACACUGUCUGAUAAUGAGCUUUGUGUUCGAGCAAUGGCAUCACUUGAGACCAUUGGCCCUUUGAUGAAUGGAAUGAAAAAGCGAUUGGAUACGAUUGGUCUAGCCUGUGAAGCACUUAAUCGCAUGUUUCAAAAGGAGCAGAAUGAUUUAGUAGCCCAAGCUUUGAAAGCAGAUUUGGUUCCGUAUCUCCUAAAAUUGCUUGAAGGUGUUGGGCUUGAAAAUUUGGAAAGCCCAUCAGCCACGAAGGCUCAGAUAGUUAAAACCUUGAAGUCUAUGACUCACAGCCUACAGUAUGGAGAACAGGUAAAUGAAAUCCUGUCUCGUUCCUCUGUGUGGAGUGCCUUCAAAGAUCAGAAACAUGACUUGUUCAUUUCUGAGACACAAACAGUAGGAUACCUCACAGGUGUCUCUUCUCCUUCCCUUCUAACUGGUAGCAGUCCCCUUCACCUCAGAAGUGGGCUUUAGAUGUGCUCUGCCAGGCAGCUUGCUAACUUCUGUGUAGCUCUCUAAUGCAGGCCCUGGAGUUGCUGGCUACCUUACUGCAGGAACGACAUCCUCUGUAAUGCCCAGUGUACCACCCCCUGUAGACAAUGAAUUGGGAGAUACCAGCUAAGAGAUUUGAAAUACCCAUGAAAGACUUUUAAAGGCAGAUUGGCCAGUGAUGAGGAACUGCACUUUCCUCCCUCUGAUGCAUUGAAGUGAACUUACUGCCUUUCCAAUUGUUUCCUGACAGUGUUAUUCCUUUUUCUAUGAAUAUAUUUUUUUUAGGGGAAAAAAGUCAGUGCGUCUGUCACAUUGUAACAUAAGAAAGCACGCUAAGGAUCAGCCCGAAUGAGUACACAAGAAUUUUUUUCUUGUUGUACGUAAGCACAUUUUGUUCCUUUCUAUUUGUUUACAAGACUGUGAAUCAAACAACUUUUUCCUAGUUUUUAUAUUUUAUGAAUUAGCAUGACUGGAGUUGAAUUACAGUCCAGAAGAAUUGGGCUAAGUCACUUGACCCCCACCAUCCCCACUAACGGAAUUUUCCUCCUCUACUCCUGACAUGAUCAGUCUCAUUGAACAUGACUUACUAGAGGUUUGUCCCUGCACCAGUUCAUUGAUGUCCUUAAUCAUUAACAUUAUCUUCCUGAGAUCAAACUGCAUUAGACACUUGUAUAACUGGCUUUACCAAAUUGAAAACACUUCAGCAAAAAAUAAAUAAAUAAAUAAAUGAUGUCAACCUGGUAUGUAAGAACCUAGUGUAAUUGUGGAAUGUUCUAUACAUUAUCCAGUAUAUAAAAACUUUCUAUAUUGAAUGUACAUUAUACAGAUCACUCAUAUGUACAUAAAAUUUUAAAAAUAAAGGGAAUUGAGCCUUGUUAAUGAGACAAAGCUGUUACUUUAA